rnacentral:misc_RNA from 1 species
AACGCACAUUGCGCCCGCCAGCAUUCUGGCGGGCAUGCCUGUCCGAGCGUCAUUUCAACCCUCAAGCACUGCUUGGCGUUGGGGCACUACGCGCUGAGCGUAGGCCCCUAAAACCAGUGGCGGGCCCGCCGUGGCUCCGGGCGUAGUAGCAACACCUCGCCUUGGGACUGCGGCGCGCUCUGGCCGUUAAACCCCCCACUAUACUGAAGGUUGACCUCGGAUCAGGUAGGAAUACCCGCUGAACUUAA